UUCUUAAGGUUAUUAAUAUGGUAUAUUACAUUAAUUUGUGUCUAUUGAGCUGGCUUCAUCUCUGAGAUGAAGCUAAUACAUCUGCUAAAUCCAUUUGAGCAGUGGUAUAGCUUAAAGUUUCCUUGUAGAUUUUUAAUUUGAAUGACUUGUGUAGAGAUGAGAACUGACAAUAGAAUCUCCUACUAUGUUGCACUUACACCGAUGUGACUUGUAAAUGCCUGUUCGUGUCUGUAUGAAGUCAUGAGCCACAGUGUUUGCUGCAUGUUUAUUCACAGUAGUUACAGCUGCUCUUCAUUGUUCCCUUUAUUACAAUAUGCUGACCUUCUUUUUGUUUGUUCUAAUUUGAUUUCAGGUUAUCAGCUAUCAAAAUACCAUGCCUUGUAUUUGGUUUCCAUUUGUUUGGCAUGCUGACUUCCAUCUUUUGACUCUCAGUGUGGGUAUCCUCCAGAGAGAUGCUUCUUGGAAACAUUAGUUUGAGGUCAUUUGUUCCUAGAAACUGUGUACUAACCACUGUAAUUCUGUUGCUUAGACUCUUGUUCUUUUCCCUCCUGCCAGGGGUUUUCUGGUGUAUUGCAUCAGACAUGAUCGAUUCCUUCUGAGCUCGCCUUUGUUGUUUGCUACUCUGUGAAAGUCUUACUCCCUUAUUCUCUCAUGAUUGAGAGUGUUUUUGCAUCUUCCUCUGUGUAUAAUAUUCCUUUAACUAUCUUCUGGAAUGCUAAGUUGGUGGUCAUGAACUGCCUUAAUUUGUGCUUAUCUUCAAAUAUUUGUAUUUCUUUAUCAACUUUGAAAGAUAAUGCUGCUGAGUAUAGCAACUGGGUCAGCACACUUGAGCUCUCUCAUUCCAUGAUUUCCCGACUGAAAUGGCUGAUGAGAGGCUGAUAUUCCUCUAAUAGUUAUGUCUCUGUAGGUAAGCUGACGGUUUCCUCUCACAGCUUUUAACCUUGUUUCUUUGUAUUCCUGUUGUCCUGGCUUUUAUGUGCCAUGAACACAUUGUUAUCUGCUCAUGUCUGUUUGGCUUCUGUGCCAUGGACACAUUGUUAUCUGCUCAUGUCUGUUUGGCAUUCUGCAUGAGCUUUUGUGUUUCGAUGUCCAUUUCAUUCUGUAGAUCUGUGAAAUUUUCUGCUAAGGUUUUAUGAGCUGCAUGCCUGCCAUUCUUACCUAAGUUUCUACCCACGGUGCUUAGGUUGGAUUGCAGAGUUCUUGGGCUUUAAGGUAAAACCCUUUAUUGUUUUCUUUAUGGGUAUUGGAAUGCAGGGUUUGUCUUUUGUGCUCUCCAGCCCUGAAACUCUUUCUUCCUCUUGGUCAGAUUUCUUGGCAAUGCUUUCCACUGUUUCUUUAUUUGAUUCAUUGAGUUUAUUUCCAAGUUUCUUUUUUUCAAAACCUCAAUUUCCUUAUUGAUUUUCCCCCUUACCCAUAUUUUUCAUCCAUAUUACUGAGAGUCAGUCUCUCUCUCACACACACACAUGCACACUUUUUUUCAAUUUUUUUUUUACAUUGCUGACUUCAUUCCAAGUCCUGUUUUUUUGUCCUACAGCUUGUUUGCAUUUUCUUUAAGGUCACUUACUAUUUUGACUAAUACACUCUUGAAGUCUCAUCUGACACUUUGCCAUUUCAGUAAUAUCAUUGAAUUCAAUAAUUGACUUGGGGUUUUUUGAAAUCACACUGUGUGCUCUCUCUCUCUCCCUCUGUGUGUGUCUCUCUCUCUCUCUCUCUCUCUCUCUCUCGUAUGUGUGUGUGUGUGUGUGUGUGUGUGUGUGUCCCUCCCUCUUUUCCCUCCCAUCCCUGUGAGCAUCCCUUCUCCCUACAAGCCCAUUUCCCACAUUCUUGUCUUGGUUUAGAGACCUCUAUUCCUAAAUACUGAAGAGACACAUUUCUUUUUGUUAAAUCCAGAACUCUUAUUUGAAAAUAUUUUCAAUUAGUAAUCAUAUAGAUUUGAAAAAAUACUUUGGUUUAUCUUUAAUGGUAUAUAAAACAAAGCACAGUAAUCCUGUGACCAUAAACAGAAGGUGGUUAGGAAUGUGGGCUUGCGAUCUGGACGGUAAUGAAGAGUGUUCAUCCUUUCAUCGAGUCUAGGAUGCCUAUAUUCAUGUGUCUGUGGGACGGUUAAAAGAUAAUAAAGACAGUACUGACAUCCCAUCUUUUCUAUAAAUGUUUAGUGCCUUAAAAACAUCACAGCUGUUUUAUUUUUCUACAUGUAAUUGUUUUGAAGUAUAUACUUAGGUAACUAUUUAACUUUACCAUUUAUUCAAGAUUCUUACUGGAAGAAUCUAACAAAUUUCUUUAUAGAUUUUAUUUCCCAAAUUGUAUUGCUGGUAAAUUGUUACAGCAGCUGUAGUUAGGUCCUCAAGUGCGAGAAUAUCUGCACUGCUUUCAUGCUCUAAGACUCCAAGAUAACACUCGGUGAUAGACUAGGAAGGAACUAAAUAGACUUCCCAGAACUACUGGUGAGGGCUGAUGAUGCAUUAGCUCUUGGAAGACAGCUCCUGCCUGCUGGGGGUGAGAAGGAAGUGCCUCCCUAUAAAGCCAGCCAGAUGAGAUAUGUGAGGGCUAGAUUUACCUCAGCUUUCUAGCCAUGUGACCAGAAAGUAUCUGAAAAUAGAAUAACUUGCAUUUGACUUAAAGGGAUACAUUUCUAGACUUGAAGCCAAUACAAUUGUGAACUGAGGCUGUUUCUUCAGAGGCCUGUUGUCUUGACAUACGCAGAGGUGCUUUACAGCCUCUCUCUCAGCCUCAGGGCUCCUUGUCUUUGGUGUCCUUGCUUCUGCACUUCCUUGCCUGUUGCUCUUUAGCCUUUGACCCACACUCUGCUUGCUUGUUUCCUAGGUCUGUAAGGUCAUGAAUGAUACAUUAGCAGAGAACAGGAUCUAAAAAUGUAAGGAUCGUGGGUUUGCCCACUGCCUCUCCUCAGCUCUGUCAAGGCCUGUGGAGUCUCUGAGCUCUGGGCCUGCCUGAGUGUUUUAGGAGGAGCAUCACAGCUCCAGUGUUUGAGACAUGGUGCUGCCAUUGCUCACCAAAUAACAACUUUUUAGCCAUUGCCUUUCCUCAUCACCCAGGAGGAAACAGUACCUGGAGCAGGGCUGACAGUUUUAUAAGGUCAUAUAGCAAGUUCAUCUGGGGCUUAGAGCUUCUGCCUGAGCCCCUGAGCCUUAGGCAACCCCUUUCUACCUGUAGUCUACUUUUGUAACCUUUCCUCAUAAGUUUGCUGACUGGAAUUUUUGCUUUCUGACCACCAUUGUUCACAGUUUAUCUUUGAGGAAAUGUAUGGUUUUUUUGUUUUGUUUUGUUUUGUUUUUCUGGUUUUUAUCCUUAGCUGGGAGAGUGAUGUUUCCUCCUUUGCUGAUAAGGACAGCAAUUGGCCAGACUCCAGGGUCUGAGGAAAUACAGUUGUAGAAACCGAAGGUUACCCUAUGGGUGGGCCAAUUCUUUGCACUGGAUUUUUAAUGUUUACUCCUGCAGUAGUACUUAAAUGUGAAAAACGUCAAAGUUCAAAGGGUAAAUAAUAUGUUUCACUUGAAUUUUUCUAAUACAAUAUUUUAAUGUAUGUGUACCAAUAUAAAGAUGAGUAGAGUUUGGGUCUAGCUCACUGGGUGGAGUCUUUGCUUGCCAUGCUUAAAGCUCUGGGUUCAGUCACUGGCACCAUAUAAGCCAGGCUGCGGGCAUACACCUGUAAUCCCAGAGCAUAGGAAUCCAUCAGAAGAAGCUGAAGGUUCUCCUCUUCCAUAAGGAAUUUGAGGCCAACCUGGGUUAGAGAACCUGUCUCAAAAAAGG
rnacentral:lncRNA from 1 species